UGAACGCUAGCUACAGGCUUAACACAUGCAAGUCGAGGGGCAGCAUGUCGGUUGCUUGCAACCGACGAUGGCGACCGGCGCACGGGUGAGUAACGCGUAUCCAACCUACCCUUGUCCAUCGGAUAACCCGUCGAAAGGCGGCCUAACACGAUAUGCGGUUCGCAGCAGGCAUCUAACGUGAACGAAAUGUAAAGGAGAAGGAUGGGGAUGCGUCUGAUUAGCUUGUUGGCGGGGUAACGGCCCACCAAGGCGACGAUCAGUAGGGGUUCUGAGAGGAAGGUCCCCCACAUUGGAACUGAGACACGGUCCAAACUCCUACGGGAGGCAGCAGUGAGGAAUAUUGGUCAAUGGACGAGAGUCUGAACCAGCCAAGUAGCGUGCAGGAUGACGGCCCUAUGGGUUGUAAACUGCUUUUAUAGGGGGAUAAAGUGUGCCACGUGUGGCAUAUUGCAGGUACCCUGAAUAAGGACCGGCUAAUUCCGUGCCAGCAGCCGCGGUAAUACGGAAGGUCCGGGCGUUAUCCGGAUUUAUUGGGUUUAAAGGGAGCGUAGGCCGUCUUAUAAGCGUGUUGUGAAAUGUCGGGGCUCAACCUGGGCAUUGCAGCGCGAACUGUGAGACUUGAGUGCGCAGGAAGUAGGCGGAAUUCGUCGUGUAGCGGUGAAAUGCUUAGAUAUGACGAAGAACUCCGAUUGCGAAGGCAGCCUGCUGUAGCGCAACUGACGCUGAAGCUCGAAAGCGUGGGUAUCGAACAGGAUUAGAUACCCUGGUAGUCCACGCGGUAAACGAUGGAUGCUCGCUGUUUGCGUCUGACGUAAGCGGCCAAGCGAAAGCGUUAAGCAUCCCACCUGGGGAGUACGCCGGCAACGGUGCAACUCGAAGGAAUUGACG
rnacentral:rRNA from 1 species